UUUUUUAGGGACCAAUUUCAUUUUUUGACAAGCCUUCUAUUUUAGGGACUAAUGUUAUUUUUUGACAAAUCUUUUACUUUUAGGGAUU
rfam:Populus trichocarpa scaffold_129_contig_1, whole genome shotgun sequence.